UACGUAGGGUGCAAGCGUUAUCCGGAAUUAUUGGGCGUAAAGAGCUCGUAGGCGGUUUGUCGCGUCUGCUGUGAAAACUGGAGGCUCAACCUCCAGCCUGCAGUGGGUACGGGCAGACUAGAGUGCGGUAGGGGAGAUUGGAAUUCCUGGUGUAGUGGUGGAAUGCGCAGAUAUCAGGAGGAACACCGAUGGCGAAGGCAGAUCUCUGGGCCGUAACUGACGCUGAGGAGCGAAAGCAUGGGGAGCGAACAGG
rnacentral:rRNA from 1 species